GCGUGGGAGAAGGGCUAGUUGUAAUCUUGGGACAGAGGUCCAGAAUAGCACCGGUAACUCUGCCACGCCCGUACAGGUGCAGCUUAUCGGAAUUACUGGGCGUAGCGCAGGUGCAAGACGGUGAAAUCCCGGCUACCUGAAUGCACUGUGCUGAGUGCGAGGGAUGGAAUCCGUGUACAGUAAAUGCGUAAUAUGGAGAACACCGUGCAAGGCCUGCCGUGGGGAGCAAACAGGAUUAGAUACCCUGGUAGUCCACGCCCUAACGAUGAACUGGUGUUUACUAUAACGCGUGAAGUCGCCUGGGGUCGGCCGCAAGGUAAAAAGGAUGACGGGCGCAAGCGGUGGAUGUCUUAAUUCAUAAGAACUCGUUGACGGACGGUGAUGC
rnacentral:rRNA from 1 species